rnacentral:rRNA from 1 species
UACAGAGGUCUCAAGCGUUGUUCGGAUUCAUUGGGCGUAAAGGGUGCGUAGGUGGCGCCGUAAGUCGGGUGUGAAAUUUCGGAGCUUAACUCCGAAACUGCAUUCGAUACUGCGGUGCUUGAGGGCUGGAGAGGAGACUGGAAUUCAUGGUGUAGCAGUGAAAUGCGUAGAGAUCAUGAGGAAGACCAGUGGCGAAGGCGGGUCUCUGGACAGUUCCUGACACUGAGGCACGAAGGCCAGGGGAGCAAACGGG